CUUGUUGUUCUCCUUUUCUUCCGUUUCUCACCCAACCCAAGCCACGCCGCCCUGUCUUCUUCCCCAUCUCGCCGAUUCUCUUUCUCCCCUUCGCUUCCUCGCGCCACCCUCCGAAGCCCGCAACGGCGUCGGUGGAUCGCCGGCCUCGCUCACCCCGCACCGGCAGAGCCUCCCUCUCCCCUCUCGCGCUGACCAUUUUCCCUCUUUUGGCCGAUCGACGUCGAUUAUCCACAGAUCAUUGGCGCACACUCGAGCACCGACCCGAGCCGAGUCCACCUCUUCGUCAUCGGCGCAUAUCUGGCCAUCGAUUUCACAGACCUAGCCGCGGACAUCCAACCCUCGUCGGGAGCCAAGCACUCGAUCCCACCUUUCCGGCGGAGCCCUAGCCGUCAUUGUGCCGCCGAAGAUCCAUUUCUCCACCUCCCUCUUUCUCUCGCAUCCAUAGCCGCCACUUGAUCCUCUACCCGAGCCCUAGAGUCAAGCUGAUUUCGUCAGGUUUUCCUUCGCAGCUUGAGAUUGGCUCUGUCAUCAAGGUAGGUUAAGAACCGUUGUGUAGCUCUAUCUCUGGUUCCAGCAACUAUCUUGAUGUCAUUUUGGAGUAUCUUUACCCAGCUCUGAUAGUAUCUGUGUGUGGGUGAUCCAUAGCUCAAGCCACAAGUUUCCAGCAGCAAUGGUCCCAGCUGCAAAUCUACAACAGAGCACAUUGAAUUAGGGCAUUAGUUUGAGACGAGCGUCUCAACAGGGGAUUGUUUAGCUCGAUCUACAUUUAA